CGGCAAGGAGAUCUCUGAGUUCAAGGUCAUCUGGGACAAAGACUGAGCAACUGCUAGAUCCUUGGACUUCCAUUCACGGCUGCUGUUGAUCAUUGUUGGGGAGUUAGACUACUGACUGUUCGCAGGGUUGAAAAAUGGCCAGUGUGACAUCAUCAGAGCGAACUGCAGACGCCUGGUCGGCUUCCCGUGUGAGGUUGUGAGCUGACGGUGCCUGUUCCAGAAGGCAGCAGCUGCUGUGGAUCUGAGGGAGUCCCUCGCCCAAUCCAGGCCCUGCACUUCAGUAAGAAUCCUUCACAUUCAGGAAUGUGGCGGCGGAUGGACCUUGACAAAUGCCUGAGCCUGGCAGAAGCAUCCUGCCUGCUGGCCAAAGGUCUGAGCCAAGCCAGUUCCAGGAUACCGUUGAGCUGUGUCUGGGCUUCUUUCUGACACUCAGGGCAAUGGA